rnacentral:rRNA from 1 species
UACGCAGGGUGCGAGCGUUGUUCGGAUUUACUGGGCGUAAAGGGCGCGCAGGCGGCUCAUUUUGUCAGGCGUGAAAGCCCCGGGCUUAACCUGGGAACUGCGUUUGAUACGUGAUGGCUGGAGUGGGGAAGAGGGUCGUGGAAUUCCCAGUGUAGAGGUGAAAUUCGUAGAUAUUGGGAAGAACACCGGUGGCGAAGGCGGCGACCUGGUCCGUGACUGACGCUGAGGCGCGAAAGCGUGGGGAGCAAACAGG